AACGUGCUCCGGGGUCGGUGAGAAUCCGAACCGGCGGUGACAGUCCGCGAACCCCUCCGCUUCAUGCGGUGGGGCCGAUCCGGUGGAAUUCCGGAACCGACGGUGAUGAGGCGAGAGAUCUCCUCUAGUCCGGAUAGGAGGCAGCACGGU
rnacentral:ncRNA from 2 species